rnacentral:rRNA from 1 species
UGCAGUCGACGCUUCUUUUUCCACCGGAGCUUGCUCCACCGGAAAAAGAGGAGUGGCGAACGGGUGAGUAACACGUGGGUAACCUGCCCAUCAGAAGGGGAUAACACUUGGAAACAGGUGCUAAUACCGUAUAACAAUCAAAACCGCAUGGUUUUGAUUUGAAAGGCGCUUUCGGGUGUCGCUGAUGGAUGGACCCGCGGUGCAUUAGCUAGUUGGUGAGGUAACGGCUCACCAAGGCCACGAUGCAUAGCCGACCUGAGAGGGUGAUCGGCCACAUUGGGACUGAGACACGGCCCAAACUCCUACGGGAGGCAGCAGUAGGGAAUCUUCGGCAAUGGACGAAAGUCUGACCGAGCAACGCCGCGUGAGUGAAGAAGGUUUUCGGAUCGUAAAACUCUGUUGUUAGAGAAGAACAAGGAUGAGAGUAACUGUUCAUCCCUUGACGGUAUCUAACCAGAAAGCCACGGCUAACUACGUGCCAGCAGCCGCGGUAAUACGUAGGUGGCAAGCGUUGUCCGGAUUUAUUGGGCGUAAAGCGAGCGCAGGCGGUUUCUUAAGUCUGAUGUGAAAGCCCCCGGCUCAACCGGGGAGGGUCAUUGGAAACUGGGAGACUUGAGUGCAGAAGAGGAGAGUGGAAUUCCAUGUGUAGCGGUGAAAUGCGUAGAUAUAUGGAGGACACCAGUGGCGAAGCGGCUCUUGGUCUGUACUGACGCUGAGCUCGAAGCGUGGGAGCAACAGGAU